UCUUAAUUAGUGACUUGUAUGAAAGAUUGGAUGAGAUAUAAACUGUCUCAAGAAUAAUAAAUUGAAAUUAAUUUUUUAAUUAAAAAGUUAAAAUGAAUUAAAAAGACGAGAAGACCCUAUAGAGUUUGAUAUUAAUUAUAAUUUAAAUUAUUUAUAAAAUUAUUUAUUUGUAAAUUUUAUUUAAUAUUUUAUUGGGGUGAUAAAAAAAUAAAUUAAACUUUUUUUAAUAAUAACCAUAGAUAAGUGAUUAAAUGAUCCAAUUUUAUUGAUUACAAGAAAAAAUUACCUUAGGGAUAACAGCGUAAUUUUUUUUUUUAGUUCUUAUAAGAAGAAAAGUUUGCGACCUCGAUGUUGGAU
rnacentral:rRNA from 1 species